rnacentral:rRNA from 1 species
GACGAACGCUGGCGGCGUGCUUAACACAUGCAAGUCAGGGGGUGCAGCAAUGCAUCACCGGCGAACGGGUGCGUAACACGUGAGCGACCUACCCAGGGGAGGGGGAUAGCCGGCCCAACGGCCGGGUAAUACCGCAUACGCUUCUUUCGCUGCAUGGCGAGGGAAGGAAACCUUCGGGACCCAUGGAGGGGCUCGCGGCCUAUCAGCUAGUUGGUGAGGUAACGGCUCACCAAGGCGAUGACGGUAGCUGGUCUGAGAGGAUGGCCAGCCAC